UAAAUGCCUCUUCAAGAAGGUGGAAUCUUGUUGAGCGAGUAAGGAGUACAAUUAAUCAGGGGUCAUUGAAGAAGAAAACUGGUCGUAGUUGGGUAAAUCAAACUUAAGUUAACAAUGCUUUUUUGAGUGACUUAUGGAUGGCCUUUCAAUGAGUGACUUAUGGAUGGCCUUUCAACACUUCUGAUCUAAAGUGUACAUUUUAGAUGGCUGCUCCCUGGAAGGCGAUUGCAUCAGAUCACGCACAUUACUGGUCCAGGGUGUAUUGAAGCUACAAUAUCAGAUCUGCAAUACUCC
rnacentral:lncRNA from 1 species